rnacentral:rRNA from 1 species
UACAGAGGCCUCGAGCGUUAGGCGGAAUCACUGGGCUUAGAGCGUGUGUAGGCGGACUUCUAAGUACCUUGUGAAGUCCCACGGCUCACCCGUGGAACUGCUCGGUAUACUGGUCGUCUUGAGCCUUCUAGGGGCGAGUGGAACAAAUGGUGGAGCGGUGAAAUGCGUAGAUAUCAUUUGGAACGCCAAUGGUGAAAACAACUCGCUGGGGAAGUGCUGACGCUGAGACACGAAAGCCAGGGGAGCGAACGGG